CAGCCGGAGGUAGGGUCCA
rnacentral:snRNA from 1 species